CCCUCUGGAUCAGUGGCGAACGGGUGAGUAACACGUGAGUAACCUGCCCUUGACUCUGGGAUAAGCGUUGGAAACGACGUCUAAUACCGGAUACGACCUUUGGAGGCAUCUCCUGAAGGUGGAAAGAAUUUCGGUCAAGGAUGGACUCGCGGCCUAUCAGGUAGUUGGUGAGGUAACGGCUCACCAAGCCGACGACGGGUAGCCGGCCUGAGAGGGUGACCGGCCACACUGGGACUGAGACACGGCCCAGACUCCUACGGGAGGCAGCAGUGGGGAAUAUUGCACAAUGGGCGAAAGCCUGAUGCAGCAACGCCGCGUGAGGGACGACGGCCUUCGGGUUGUAAACCUCUUUUAGUAGGGAAGAAGCGAAAGUGACGGUACCUGCAGAAAAAGCACCGGCUAACUACGUGCCAGCAGCCGCGGUAAUACGUAGGGUGCAAGCGUUGUCCGGAAUUAUUGGGCGUAAAGAGCUCGUAGGCGGUUUGUCGCGUCUGCUGUGAAAACUGGAGGCUCAACCUCCAGCCUGCAGUGGGUACGGGCAGACUAGAGUGCGGUAGGGGAGAUUGGAAUUCCUGGUGUAGCGGUGGAAUGCGCAGAUAUCAGGAGGAACACCGAUGGCGAAGGCAGAUCUCUGGGCCGUAACUGACGCUGAGGAGCGAAAGCAUGGGGAGCGAACAGGAUUAGAUACCCUGGUAGUCCAUGCCGUAAACGUUGGGAACUAGAUGUGGGGGCCAUUCCACGGCUUCCGUGUCGCAGCUAACGCAUUAAGUUCCCCGCCUGGGGAGUACGGCCGCAAGGCUAAAACUCAAAGGAAUUGACGGGGGCCCGCACAAGCGGCGGAGCAUGCGGAUUAAUUCGAUGCAACGCGAAGAACCUUACCAAGGCUUGACAUAUACCGGAAAGCUGCAGAAAUGUAGCCCCCGCAAGGUCGGUAUACAGGUGGUGCAUGGUUGUCGUCAGCUCGUGUCGUGAGAUGUUGGGUUAAGUCCCGCAACGAGCGCAACCCUCGUUCUAUGUUGCCAGCACGUAAUGGUGGGAACUCAUAGGAGACUGCCGGGGUCAACUCGGAGGAAGGUGGGGAUGACGUCAAAUCAUCAUGCCCCUUAUGUCUUGGGCUUCACGCAUGCUACAAUGGCCGGUACAAAGGGCUGCAAUACCGUAAGGUGGAGCGAAUCCCAAAAAGCCGGUCUCAGUUCGGAUUGAGGUCUGCAACUCGACCUCAUGAAGUCGGAGUCGCUAGUAAUCGCAGAUCAGCAACGCUGCGGU
rnacentral:rRNA from 1 species